UGGGGAAUUUUGGACAAUGGGCGAAAGCCUGAUCCAGCAAUGCCGCGUGUGUGAAGAAGGCCUUCGGGUUGUAAAGCACUUUUGUCCGGAAAGAAAUCCUUGGCUCUAAUACAGUCGGGGGAUGACGGUACCGGAAGAAUAAGCACCGGCUAACUACGUGCCAGCAGCCGCGGUAAUACGUAGGGUGCAAGCGUUAAUCGGAAUUACUGGGCGUAAAGCGUGCGCAGGCGGUUUGCUAAGACCGAUGUGAAAUCCCCGGGCUCAACCUGGGAACUGCAUUGGUGACUGGCAGGCUAGAGUAUGGCAGAGGGGGGUAGAAUUCCACGUGUAGCAGUGAAAUGCGUAGAGAUGUGGAGGAAUACCGAUGGCGAAGGCAGCCCCCUGGGCCAAUACUGACGCUCAUGCACGAAAGCGUGGGGAGCAAACAGGAUUAGAUACCCUGGUAGUCCACGCCCUAAACGAUGUCAACUAGUUGUUGGGGAUUCAUUUCCUUAGUAACGUAGCUAACGCGUGAAGUUGACCGCCUGGGGAGUACGG
rnacentral:rRNA from 1 species